rnacentral:rRNA from 1 species
GGUUAAGCGACUAAGCGUACACGGUGGAUGCCCUGGCAGUCAGAGGCGAUGAAGGACGUGCUAAUCUGCGAUAAGCGUCGGUAAGGUGAUAUGAACCGUUAUAACCGGCGAUUUCCGAAUGGGGAAACCCAGUGUGUUUCGACACACUAUCAUUAACUGAAUCCAUAGGUUAAUGAGGCGAACCGGGGGAACUGAAACAUCUAAGUACCCCGAGGAAAAGAAAUCAACCGAGAUUCCCCCAGUAGCGGCGAGCGAACGGGGAGCAGCCCAGAGCCUGAAUCAGUGUGUGUGUUAGUGGAAGCGUCUGGAAAGGCGCGCGAUACAGGGUGACAGCCCCGUACACAAAAAUGCACAUGCUGUGAGCUCGAUGAGUAGGGCGGGACACGUGGUAUCCUGUCUGAAUAUGGGGGGACCAUCCUCCAAGGCUAAAUACUCCUGACUGACCGAUAGUGAACCAGUACCGUGAGGGAAAGGCGAAAAGAACCCCGGCGAGGGGAGUGAAAAAGAACCUGAAACCGUGUACGUACAAGCAGUGGGAGCACGCUUCGGCGUGUGACUGCGUACCUUUUGUAUAAUGGGUCAGCGACUUAUAUUCUGUAGCAAGGUUAACCGAAUAGGGGAGCCGAAGGGAAACCGAGUCUUAACUGGGCGUUAAGUUGCAGGGUAUAGACCCGAAACCCGGUGAUCUAGCCAUGGGCAGGUUGAAGGUUGGGUAACACUAACUGGAGGACCGAACCGACUAAUGUUGAAAAAUUAGCGGAUGACUUGUGGCUGGGGGUGAAAGGCCAAUCAAACCGGGAGAUAGCUGGUUCUCCCCGAAAGCUAUUUAGGUAGCGCCUCGUGAAUUCAUCUCCGGGGGUAGAGCACUGUUUCGGCAAGGGGGUCAUCCCGACUUACCAACCCGAUGCAAACUGCGAAUACCGGAGAAUGUUAUCACGGGAGACACACGGCGGGUGCUAACGUCCGUCGUGAAGAGGGAAACAACCCAGACCGCCAGCUAAGGUCCCAAAGUCAUGGUUAAGUGGGAAACGAUGUGGGAAGGCCCAGACAGCCAGGAUGUUGGCUUAGAAGCAGCCAUCAUUUAAAGAAAGCGUAAUAGCUCACUGGUCGAGUCGGCCUGCGCGGAAGAUGUAACGGGGCUAAACCAUGCACCGAAGCUGCGGCAGCGACGCUGAUGCGUUGUUGGGUAGGGGAGCGUUCUGUAAGCCUGUGAAGGUGUGCUGUGAGGCAUGCUGGAGGUAUCAGAAGUGCGAAUGCUGACAUAAGUAACGAUAAAGCGGGUGAAAAGCCCGCUCGCCGGAAGACCAAGGGUUCCUGUCCAACGUUAAUCGGGGCAGGGUGAGUCGACCCCUAAGGCGAGGCCGAAAGGCGUAGUCGAUGGGAAACAGGUUAAUAUUCCUGUACUUGGUGUUACUGCGAAGGGGGGACGGAGAAGGCUAUGUUGGCCGGGCGACGGUUGUCCCGGUUUAAGCGUGUAGGCUGGUUUUCCAGGCAAAUCCGGAAAAUCAAGGCUGAGGCGUGAUGACGAGGCACUACGGUGCUGAAGCAACAAAUGCCCUGCUUCCAGGAAAAGCCUCUAAGCAUCAGGUAACAUCAAAUCGUACCCCAAACCGACACAGGUGGUCAGGUAGAGAAUACCAAGGCGCUUGAGAGAACUCGGGUGAAGGAACUAGGCAAAAUGGUGCCGUAACUUCGGGAGAAGGCACGCUGAUAUGUAGGUGAAGUCCCUCGCGGAUGGAGCUGAAAUCAGUCGAAGAUACCAGCUGGCUGCAACUGUUUAUUAAAAACACAGCACUGUGCAAACACGAAAGUGGACGUAUACGGUGUGACGCCUGCCCGGUGCCGGAAGGUUAAUUGAUGGGGUCAGCGCAAGCGAAGCUCUUGAUCGAAGCCCCGGUAAACGGCGGCCGUAACUAUAACGGUCCUAAGGUAGCGAAAUUCCUUGUCGGGUAAGUUCCGACCUGCACGAAUGGCGUAAUGAUGGCCAGGCUGUCUCCACCCGAGACUCAGUGAAAUUGAACUCGCUGUGAAGAUGCAGUGUACCCGCGGCAAGACGGAAAGACCCCGUGAACCUUUACUAUAGCUUGACACUGAACAUUGAGCCUUGAUGUGUAGGAUAGGUGGGAGGCUUUGAAGUGUGGACGCCAGUCUGCAUGGAGCCGACCUUGAAAUACCACCCUUUAAUGUUUGAUGUUCUAACGUUGACCCGUAAUCCGGGUUGCGGACAGUGUCUGGUGGGUAGUUUGACUGGGGCGGUCUCCUCCUAAAGAGUAACGGAGGAGCACGAAGGUUGGCUAAUCCUGGUCGGACAUCAGGAGGUUAGUGCAAUGGCAUAAGCCAGCUUGACUGCGAGCGUGACGGCGCGAGCAGGUGCGAAAGCAGGUCAUAGUGAUCCGGUGGUUCUGAAUGGAAGGGCCAUCGCUCAACGGAUAAAAGGUACUCCGGGGAUAACAGGCUGAUACCGCCCAAGAGUUCAUAUCGACGGCGGUGUUUGGCACCUCGAUGUCGGCUCAUCACAUCCUGGGGCUGAAGUAGGUCCCAAGGGUAUGGCUGUUCGCCAUUUAAAGUGGUACGCGAGCUGGGUUUAGAACGUCGUGAGACAGUUCGGUCCCUAUCUGCCGUGGGCGCUGGAGAACUGAGGGGGGCUGCUCCUAGUACGAGAGGACCGGAGUGGACGCAUCACUGGUGUUCGGGUUGUCAUGCCAAUGGCACUGCCCGGUAGCUAAAUGCGGAAGAGAUAAGUGCUGAAAGCAUCUAAGCACGAAACUUGCCCCGAGAUGAGUUCUCCCUGACCCUUUAAGGGUCCUGAAGGAACGUUGAAGACGACGACGUUGAUAGGCCGGGUGUGUAAGCGCAGCGAUGCGUUGAGCUAACCGGUACUAAUGAACCGUGAGGCUUAACCUU